rnacentral:rRNA from 1 species
GCGGAGGAACGAUGUGGUUUAAUUCGAUGAUACGCGAGGAACCUUACCCGGGCUUGAAUUGCAGAGGAAGAAGUUUGGAGACAAUGACGCCCUUCGGGGUCUCUGUGAAGGUGCUGCAUGGUUGUCGUCAGCUCGUGCCGUGAGGUGUCGGCUUAAGUGCCAUAACGAGCGCAACCCCUCUCCUUAGUUGCCAUCAGGUCAAGCUGGGCACUCUGGGGACACUGCCACCGUAAGGUGUGA